GAGCAAGAAUAGGCAGCUCCAGGCCUCGAUGACCACAUUCCUGCAUGACCAACAUCCCUUGCUCUGUCUGGCAUGUUCUAAUUGGCUGGACACACCUAAAGCAGAUAAUCAUGAGUCAUGAGUAGGGCUAGACAAUAUAUAAAUCAUGCAGAUGUAGCAGGAUAGAUUGCUGCAGGUGUGUCUGGGAGGGUAAUUGCAGCCCCUGGCCUCUAGGGACACUAUAAAAAGAUGAAGCGGCCCAUUUGCCGUCAUGGGCAUCUGCUGGUCUCUGGGACCGCCCACUUCCUGGUGCGCACUUCCUCUUAGCCUCACAGCUCCGGAAAACACCGCCACCGGCAAUCUCGCCAUAAACCGAGCCUCUGCGAUUUGCGGGCUGUUGUUUCUGGUGACGGACAGCCUGGGACUUUCUGUGCUCCCAGUAAUUUGGGAUCAGCUGCUGCUUUAUUUAUAUUGAUUAUCGGGACGACUUGCU